rnacentral:rRNA from 1 species
GACGAACGCUGGCGGCGUGCUUAACACAUGCAAGUCGAACGGAAAGGCCCGGCGUUUGUGGGGUGCUCGAGUGGCGAACGGGGGAGUAAAACGUGAGUAAAAUGCCCUUGGCAGUGGGAUAACUUCAGGAAAAAGGGGCUAAUACCGGAUAGGAGCUCCUGCUGCAUGGGGGGGGUGGGAAAGUGUCGGCGGUGGUGGAUGGACUCGCGGCUUAUCAGCUUGUUGGUGGGGUAGUGGCUUACCAAGGCUUUGACGGGUAGCCGGCCUGAGAGGGUGACCGGCCACCUUGGUCCUGCGAUACGCCCCAGACUCCUACGUGCGGCAGCAGUGGAGAAUCUUGCACACUGGGCCGACGCCUGAUGCAGCAACGCCGCGUGCGGGAUGCCCGCCUUCGGGUUGUAAACCUCUUUCGCCUGUGACGAAGCGUGAGUGACGGUAAUGGGUCAAGAAGCACCGGCUAACUACGUG